rnacentral:lncRNA from 1 species
UUUUUUUUUUCUUUCUAAAUAAAUAUACAUUAUAUACUAAUUUGGUGUACUUAAGGAAACUCUCUAUCCACCACAUUCAUAUAUAGGGAAACUCUUUCGUACAUAUCUUGACAAAUUAGAUACUAACUGUGGAGGAUAUCUUCAAACACUAUUAAAAUAUUGUUUAUUCGAACAUAAUCAUAUUCUUUUUUCUUUUUAUUGUAUUUUUUCUUUAUUUCUCUCAUGUAUGAAUAUCAUAAGAUGUGACACUAUUUAAUUCAAUAAAAGACUAAAAUAAAAGGUAACCCAAAAUAAAAUGAUAUUUUAAAAUAAUAAGAUUCAAAUUAAAACGAUAAUUAAAAUUUAUAUAUUAAAUAUAUUUAAUUAUAACAUAAAUUCAUUAUGAUAUGGAAACUUGGAAGCCAAAAUUAAAAGAAAAUGAAAAGAUUAUAAUUAUAUUUCCGCCUUUUUUGCAUUAUUUUCAAAAAUUUAAAGAACAAAGACAUAGUUUCAAGAUACAUGAAAUUACAACACGAUAUAAAUAUAUAAAAUUUAUAAAAUUACAAUUAUUCAUCAUAAGCUAUAUUAUUUAUAUUUUUUGAUAUUUCAAAAAAUAUUAUUUAGGAUAAGUUAUGAGAAUGGACUUAAAAAUGAUUUACCAUAUCCUCUCAUGAACCUCUACAAACUUUGUGCAUAUUGUGUUAACGCACUUAAAAAUUAUUCUCUGAUUGUUAGCACUCAUCAUUGAGAAUGGACAAUUUUCAUCAGUUUGACAUGGUUGCCCCCCUUAGUGAAAAAUAGAAUAAAAAAUGUUAGUGAAACAUGAAAAAAGAUAUUGUAAGAAUUAUAACAUAAAAUAAAAACUAAUUAAGAAGCAAAACUGAUUUACCGUUAUGCCCGGAUGAAAGAAUAUGCCCGGAUGAAAGAAGGAAUAGGGAAAAAAAUAAAAUUAUAGCAUAAAUAAAUUUGACAACUUUUGUCAUUUUUUCUCUCUUUCUCGUUAGAAGUAAAAAGAGAGUUGAGCAAUUUAUAGUGUAUAAAUCCAAUGUAAUGUUUAAAACAAUUAAAUAUUUUAAGCCCUAAAGUAUAAAAUAUAUUUUAAUUGUCCCUUUUUCACGUUUAAUAGGCGUCUCUUAAGCAUAUUUAGCAAAGGGGGUAAGAAACAAAUACUUUAUAAUCUUUACAUUUAUUUAAAAGUAAUUUUACAUCAUUUGGUGAUUGAAAGGACAUGUUUUUUNNNNNNNNNNNNNNNNNNNNNNNNNNNNNNNNNNNNNNNNNNNNNNNNNNNNNNNNNNNNNNNNNNNNNNNNNNNNNNNNNNNNNNNNNNNNNNNNNNNNNNNNNNNNNNNNNNNNNNNNNNNNNNNNNNNNNNNNNNNNNNNNNNNNNNNNNNNNNNNNNNNNNNNNNNNNNNNNNNNNNNNNNNNNNNNNNNNNNNNNNNNNNNNNNNNNNNNNNNNNNNNNNNNNNNNNNNNNNNNNNNNNNNNNNNNNNNNNNNNNNNNNNNNNNNNNNNNNNNNNNNNNNNNNNNNNNNNNNNNNNNNNNNNNNNNNNNNNNNNNNNNNNNNNNNNNNNNNNNNNNNNNNNNNNNNNNNNNNNNNNNNNNNNNNNNNNNNNNNNNNNNNNNNNNNNNNNNNNNNNNNNNNNNNNNNNNNNNNNNNNNNNNNNNNNNNNNNNNNNNNNNNNNNNNNNNNNNNNNNNNNNNNNNNNNNNNNNNNNNNNNNNNNNNNNNNNNNNNNNNNNNNNNNNNNNNNNNNNNNNNNNNNNNNNNNNNNNNNNNNNNNNNNNNNNNNNNNNNNNNNNNNNNNNNNNNNNNNNNNNNNNNNNNNNNNNNNNNNNNNNNNNNNNNNNNNNNNNNNNNNNNNNNNNNNNNNNNNNNNNNNNNNNNNNNNNNNNNNNNNNNNNNNNNNNNNNNNNNNNNNNNNNNNNNNNNNNNNNNNNNNNNNNNNNNNNNNNNNNNNNNNNNNNNNNNNNNNNNNNNNNNNNNNNNNNNNNNNNNNNNNNNNNNNNNNNNNNNNNNNNNNNNNNNNNNNNNNNNNNNNNNNNNNNNNNNNNNNNNNNNNNNNNNNNNNNNNNNNNNNNNNNNNNNNNNNNNNNNNNNNNNNNNNNNNNNNNNNNNNNNNNNNNNNNNNNNNNNNNNNNNNNNNNNNNNNNNNNNNNNNNNNNNNNNNNNNNNNNNNNNNNNNNNNNNNNNNNNNNNNNNNNNNNNNNNNNNNNNNNNNNNNNNNNNNNNNNNNNNNNNNNNNNNNNNNNNNNNNNNNNNNNNNNNNNNNNNNNNNNNNNNNNNNNNNNNNNNNNNNNNNNNNNNNNNNNNNNNNNNNNNNNNNNNNNNNNNNNNNNNNNNNNNNNNNNNNNNNNNNNNNNNNNNNNNNNNNNNNNNNNNNNNNNNNNNNNNNNNNNNNNNNNNNNNNNNNNNNNNNNNNNNNNNNNNNNNNNNNNNNNNNNNNNNNNNNNNNNNNNNNNNNNNNNNNNNNNNNNNNNNNNNNNNNNNNNNNNNNNNNNNNNNNNNAUAUAUAUAUAUAUAUAUAUAUAUAUAUAUAUAUAUAUAUAUAUAUAUAUAUAUAUAUAUAUAUAUAAUGUAGAGUUGAGGAGAUAAUUUGUAAUGUAUAAGUUAAAUAUAACAAUAUUUCUCUUUAUAAAAUUAUCGGAUAUUAAGGAAUGAAAAUCAUAUUUUGUGUCAUAAUGUAAUUUCUUCUAUAUAAAGUUGUUCGUGAUGCAUUUUAGGCGAUUUUAAUGAUAAAAUUUAUCCGAAUCACAAGAGAAAAAGAUAUUCGGUUUGAUUUAGUUAGGUUGGCUUUUAGAAAUAAAACCAAAUCAAACCAAUACGGUUUGGGUUAGUUUGGUUUUAAAAAAAAAUUAUUGAGUGAUACAUACACCUAUAGAGAACAACAUAAUUUUGUAUUUAGUCAUUUAUACAUUAAUAAAUAACAUCAAAACUCAUCAUAUUUAGACAAAAUCUUCUCAUUCGAUAUACAAAAAUCAGAUUAUACAAAAUUGGAAUAAAAAAACAUAAAAUAGUAGCAUAAAAUAAUAUCAAAUGCAUUAUAAUAAAUCAUAAAAAAACAGAUGAGAAGAGUGAUUAGACAAGAAGAAAAAGAAAGAACAAAUGAGAUGCUAGAUUAGAGAAGAAAAGUGCGAUAAAAAUGUAAUUGAAAGAGAAAAUAGUAACAUAAAAAUGAGAAGAUGAAAAAGAAAGAACAUAAGAGAGGUGAGACUAAAGUAGAAGAGGCAAGACAUACAUGACAAAGAAAAUGAGAAGAAUAUCCGAUACUACAUGGAGAGAUUUGUAAGUUGUAACACCCUGAAUUCAAUUAAUUAUUUUAAUUUAAUUAUUUAAAAUUGCAUUUGAUUAAUUGGUAUUUUAAAGUAUUUGUUGUGUGAUUGUGGGGGGUAAUUGUCCUUGAAGUAGAGGUAUAGAAAGAGUAAGAGUUUGACAUAUUUGUUUAGAAAUUAAUUGAAGUUUUAAUUAAUUAUUAGAAUAAAUAGUAUUUUUAUUUGAAAUAAUUAUUUAAAUAAUAAAAUGAUGGAAUUGAGCUAUUUGCAAGAUUUGGAGGGAAUAAGGGGUAAAAAUAAAGAAAUUAUUAUUGAGUUAGGCAAGUUUCAUAAUUAGACAAAAUAGUGAAGGAGUAUAUACUCUAAAGUUAGGGAAAGAGUUAGGUUUUGGAGAGAAAACUUCAGACGUGUAGGAAAGAGACAAGAGAGGGGAAGAGGAGCAAGCUAGGAGGUUGAGGAGAGAACUCAUAGAAACUGCACAAAUCAUCAUCAAUUGUAUAAAAUUAGGUAAGGAUUGGAAAUUAUUUCAACAAUAAAAGGUGUGAUGGAAGGGUAGAAUGAAGGAACCCUUAACCUCCUUAGGAUUGGGUGUUCUAAAUCUCAAUUUUGAUUUUUGUGUUAUAAUUGUUGUUGUAUGAUGGAAUUGGUGUGAAAUUUGUGUAACUUAUUGAAGCUAGCAGAAAUAUACCUGAACGCAUCGCACGCUUGAACAUACAACAGAGUCGCCAUCAAACUUUAUUCAUUCCGUAAGGAAAGGGAAAACAUCGAUAAAACCCGAGGGAAAGAGAUAUAUAUGUAAGGAAGUCGGUUAUGUAAGGGGAAGGUAUUAACACCCCUAACAUCCAUGGUACUCCAUGGGAACCGUUUUGAUUGUUCUUACUCGAAUGGGUGUUAUAUCCAAGGCUACUCGCGAAAGAAUGAAGGGAAAAGGAAAAAGAAUAGAUAAAGUACUCGGUGAGGAUUGAGUAAAGAAUAGAUAGUGCAAUAAGGAAUUCAGAGCUCCGUAGUUCAUAGAACUAGUGGUGGAAGGUGAAAAGAAUUUGUGAUACAAGUAUAGUCUGAAACAAAGGAUUUUAUGAUUUGAACUCCAGAAAAAAGCGGGGAUAAAUCUCGAACCCAAGACUAAUGCUGGCGUGAGCCAUUGUCGGGUAAUUCUGGAACAUCACCGCUAUACGUUACACCGAAAAACCAAGCAAGACCAAUUAAGUUUUGGUUUGAUCCAAGGAACAUUAUAUCACUGUAGCGGUACAAACGAAUUUGAAGAAUCAAAGAAGACCUGGAUAUCUAUUGAACCCAUGAAGGAUGGAACUCAUAACUCGAGAGAAGUCAAACACGUGUUUCUGGUCCAAAAAGAAGGGAACAAAAGUGUUUGUCCUUGAUAACACGAAACAUCUUUUGGUGUCACAAGGUUUUUGGGGAAAAAGUAGGACGAUACAAAUUUUGCCUUUGACACGCACAAGACAUCUCUUGGUCACAGGAACGCAUGGAUAUGAAUCCCAAAGGAAUAAUGAGAUCUCAAAAAUAUGGUAUUGCUUGAAGAAAUACCAAUGGGGUAGAAAUAAAUAAGGUAGCUGGCGGAGAAUCUGAAUCCUCGUGCCUACGUAUUCUCACUGUGCAAUUAGAAAGUCAGAUCUUUCGUAGUUCAAUCAACUAAGGAUGACAACAACAUAGUUCAGGCAAAAGAAGUGAUUGGUAAUUGCUAGGAUACACAAACCUUCUAGGCAGAAAAAGGAGUGCCAAGGUUCACAGCCUGCUAGGAAAGGAGUCACUACCAGAGUUUAUAAUUCUGAAGGCGAAGAAUUGAACUGCCAAGGUCUAAAACCUAAAAGGCAAAGGGAAUGGAUGUUAGAGUCCAUUACUCCCUAGGCAAAAGAAAGCACUUCCAAAGUCCAUAAACUGAUAGGCAAGGGGAUUUCCCAGAGUCCAUAACUCUACAAGGCUACUUAAAGGGAUUGUCAAGGUAUAUAACAAAGUGCAAAAGUCUAUAACUCCAUACGCACAGAAAGAGUCUGCCAAGGUCCACCAUCUCCUGGGGGUAAAAGGAAGAUUGCCAAGGUCUAUUACGUUAUAGGAAAGAAAGAUUGAAUUGAUUGGGUCAAUAACCCUAUAAGGAAAAAGGAAUUCCAAGUUCUAUCACCUUAUAGGAAAGGAAAGGUUUCCAAGGUUUAUUACCUUAUAGGCAAGAACAUGUUUGAAUUGCCUGGGUCCAUAACCCUACAAGGAAAAAGGAAUACCAAGGUCUAUCACCUUAUAGGAAAGAAAAGGUUGUCGUUUCCUAUGUCCAUAACCCUAUAAGGAAAAAGGAAUGUCAAGGUCUAUCACCUUGUAGGCAAGAAUGAAUGAUUAAAAGACGGUGUACAACCAUGAGAUGCCAAUAGGAACAAUGCUUCAUUAUUGAAGUGUGGAAAGAUUGAUGCUUGCUUGAAGAAUACUUGUUAAUUGCAUGAUUCAAAUUACACUAAAGUCUAUGAACAAGGGUCAAUGAUUUGAAUAGCUAGGGCAUAUGCCCCCUAUGGAAAGUCACUCUAGACAAGGGUAGGAGAAACUUUGUCUCAACAUUCCCCGUUACUUAAGGCUCAUAACGUGUAACCCUUAUCACGAUUGACAAGUACUAUUAAGGCUUAUGAUUAUUGAUCUUGAUGAUGACAUGUUGUUUGUUGUGUUGAGAAGACUUGACAAUUGUUUGAUUCAAAUUAUGCUAAAGUCUAUGAACAAGGAUGAAUGCUUUGAAUAGCUAGGGCCUGCGUCCCGUAUACAAAGUCACUCUAGACAAGGGUAGGAGAAACUAUGUCUCCUCAUUGCUCAUUAGUUAAGGCUCAUAGCAUACAAUUUGAAUCGUAGUUACCAAGUCUUGACCUUCGAUGUAUCUUGUAUAAUCCGCUGCUUGAUUUGACUAGGAUGCCUUGCACGAAAGACUAGACUUGAAGCUUCAAGAUCCAUGGUAUUGAAAUUAGUCCCAUCAAGUGAGCAAGGGACUUUUGAUCACUUCAAUGGACUGUGAGAUUAUACAUGACCAAAGGAUUUAGUUGGUCAAAAUUGCUUUUGAUCAACGUAAAUCGGAGGGUUUGAAUUAACUUGAAAAUUGUGAUUAACCUAAUCUAUGGGUUAAGAUUAUUCUCACACUAUUCCUAAGGGAGCAUAUUAUGUUAAUCAGAUACUUCAUGAAAAAACUUGAUUAAACUAGCUAAUAUUCUAAGUUAAAAUUAAAACCGAAAGGAACAUGCGUUUCUAUGGCUAAAAUGACAAAAAUAACCCUAAGGUUAAAAUGGUUAUUUCACAUGAAUAUUCAAUUUAAGGAUAAAAUUAAACCCUAAUCAAUAUCCUAACUAAAACCUAAAAAUUAGACAAGUUCUAAGAAAACUAUUUUAAUCAAAUCAAAGAAACCUAAUUGUUUUUAGAAAUCUAACUAAACUAAAAAUAAAUAAAUUAAUAUUCUAAUUAAUCCUAUUUUUAUUCUAAUUAAAAUCCUAAUUCUAAUUAUUCCUAAAAAUCUAACUUAAUUAAACUAAUCAUUAAAAAACUCUAAAUGGCCUAAUUAAUAAAAAUAAAACAAACAAAAAAUGAAUCAAGAACAAAAAGAAUAAUUAACUCAGAUUGGGGNAAAGAAUAAUUAAUCAAUUGGGGUGUAAAAGAAUUAAAAUAAGGUCUAAUGGCCCAAAAAUCCACAUAAUCAGUUUGUUUUAUUCUUGUUUUAUCUUAUAUGUUGUUUUGUAUUAUAUGUGUCAUGCUGAACCAGUCAUGCUGGCGACACAUGGUGCUGUCGCAAAAAAGUGAAAAAAAAGAACAAAAUGUAGGACACGUGUCACGGUUCUGAGAGUUCCAAGUUUAAUCAAUAUAUGUUUCAUUAAUUAAUUUAACCGAUUAAAAUCCUAAUUCUAAUUAUUCCUAAAAAUCUAACUUAAUUAAACUAAUCAUUAAAAAACUCUAAAUGGCCUAAUUAAUAAAAAUAAAACAAACAAAAAAUGAAUCAAGAACAAAAAGAAUAAUUAACUCAGAUUGGGGGUGUAAAAAGCAAUUAAAAUAAGGUCUAAUGGCCCAAAAGAUCCACAUAAUCAGUUUUGUUUUAUUCUUGUUUUAUCUUAUAUGUUGUUUUGUAUUAUAUGUCAUGCUGAACCAGUCAUGCUGCGACACAUGGUGCUGUCCAAAAAAGUGAAAAAAAAGAAAAAAAUGGUAGGACACGUGUCACGGUUCUGAGAGUUCCAAGUUUAAUCAAUAUAUGUUCAUUAAUUAAUUACACACAACCUUGAAUUUUGAUCUACUAAAAAUUAAUAAAUAAAAAAUUAAUAAAUCAAAAAUUAAUAUGCAAAUUAUAUAUCCAGGCUCGAUUUUUCGCGAAGAAUCCAAAUAUGCAAUCGAAUUUUGCAAAUGAGCCACGAAUUUUGAAGAAUCAGGCGAAAAUGUGAAGAAGAAAAAAUUAUGUAAAGAAUCGAUUGAUUCAUAUUCGUUAUAAUGAUAUAUGAAAAAGUAAUCUCAUAUUCAAAAUCAUGACGAAAAAUCGCUUCUUAUGAUAUAUUCAUACGUAAUUAACGGUUAAGAAUUGAAAAAUCACUAUUUUUAAGUUUAUGUGAUUUAUGCAAAACAGUAACUAAAAUUGAUCAACAAGCAUGCUGAGUCGAGUGUUUUAUUGUUGAUCAAAGAUUGUCUGUAACUAGAUGACCAUAAAGACAAUUGAUGGGUACUCCACGAAGCAUGCUGAGCGACACGAGUGAUCUAGAUAGAAUUUGCCCAUCCUACGUAACAUGAUAAAUGUCUAAGGGCUCAAUAUUGAAAUGGACAAGGAUGGCACGGGUUAUGCCUUGUGUUUAAUAUAAACAUAAUGACAAAAGGGUAAUUGUACACGUAAGUAAUAUCACAAAAAGGGAUUUGUCAUAUCACAUGACAUUUUCGUGUCUUGGGUAGCAAUGAUGUGUUGUUAGAUACCGCUCACUAUUUAUUAUUUUAAAUAUGUGAUUUAAUAUAAUUACCAAUAUCGCGAAAACCUACAGGGUCACACACAAAAUGACGGAUUGAUGAGAGACAGAUUAAAUAAGGAACACCGUAAGGUACGGUGCACUUAAGUAGAAUAUGAAAUAUGGUAAGGUAUCACACGCUUAAGUGAUUUUCAGUAUACCAUAAGAUAUGGGCCACAUCCACUUAAGUGAACUUUUUAGCUUGCAGGCGAUAUAAGUGGUUCUAUAAAUUGAACCCUUGUGCAUAAGCGUUUUACUUGAUGAAAUUUCUCUUCUCUCUCUCAAAGUCUUCAUUCGUAACAGCUAGCACUGAGACUAAAGGAAUCCGUUCGUGUGGACUGAGUAGAGGCGUUGUCACCCGUGAUCACUCCUUAGAUCUGCAUCAAAGGUUUCAAUUGGCAUAAGAUGUAACGAUUUUUAUCACUAAUCAUUCUCAUUUUUAAGGAUCAGUAAAGGAAAAUUUUAAUUUCUGUUGCAUUUUGGAUCGUAAUUUUCCUUUAGUGGUAUCAGAGCCACUUACGAAACCAUGCAUAUGAUAGUUGUUUUUUUCUUCUGUAUUAAUACGAUUAAAAGACAAAAUGAAUUAAAUAAUAAAAGAGUAUUUAAAUUUGGGAUCAUGUGUGUAUGAUUUGGAUGAUUGAUGUUGACUAUGCUUCGAAAUCUGAUGUUAGUAUGGUGAAGCAGCGAUACAUCGAUCGUCCAUGGGUAACACAAAUGAGAUCGAUCAAUUUAUAUAUAUGAUAUAAGAUAAUCUGAUGCAAAAUAUGGUAUAUAUGAUAUACUGUUUCUAUUUCGUUCAUUCAAACACUUAAUGAUUUUUAUUCUUUUAAGCGAUCAAUGGCCAAUUGCUUCGGAAUCCGACAUUAGUAUGGUGAAGCAAUGGCGUGUUGAUCAAUCAUAUUGAUUUAUCAAUCGAGGUGUGUUUGACGAUAUGAAAUUGCUGCAUUAGGGUUCAUGAUGGUACAAGGGUUAUGCUGUCAAAGAGUUAUGCGAUUAGGGUUGUGACUGCACAAGAGUUGUGCUUUAAAGUAUCAAGUGUUGACCGAGAAGAAGAACCCCCGACUAACUCUGUGUAGUAUGAUCAAUCACCAAAAUUUAAUUUGGUUUAUAUAAUUAACAGAAUUUAAAUUAAUAAUAAUAAUGUGUUUAUUAUUAUUGUCUUUUGGUGAUCAGUUAUGGCCUUAGUUUUCCUUUAUUUUGUUUUUGGGAUUUUAAAAUACAACCUGCGUGUCGUGCCUCUAUUUUAAUCUCUUAAUGUAACUUCUUUUCUCAUCUCACUCCCUCGUAUGUAAAACGAGUUUCUUUUAUGUAAUGUAAUGUUAUGAAAAAAGAUAAUAAUACAAUAUCAAAGGGGGAUAACCUUGAAGAUCAUGCUUGGAGAAGCUUAGAUUGUUAUUAGGUUAUAUUAGGUUCUCUCAUUGGCUUGGGAGAACAAUUGCGAUAUGGGCCAUAACUGUUUCAUUUUGUAUGUAUGUUGAUGCAUCCGAGAGACGAUUUAAAUGAUAAAUAAGCCGGAGAGAUCAAAAUAAUUGCAAAUUCCCUCAAAUUAAAUAUUAAGUUUAUGCUUUCCAAUUUUUAGCACUCAUCAAGACUAAUAUCGAAUAAUGUAGGUUUCGCCUAGGUGAGGUACAUGUUCUAUAUUAGUAUGGUGUGAUGGGAUGAUUGUAAUAUCCAAUUGCUAAAAUAAUGGGUCAAACUUAACUAAACAAACUAUAAUAAGAUUAUAUAUGUUUAGAAGCAAGAGUUGGAUUGGAAUAAGGAGUUAUUCACCCAACUAAAAUAUUCGAGAGUUGUAUUAGAUACAAUUGGAAGGAGUUCCUACCUAAAUAACCUAGUUUUGUGUAAUCCUCCUACGCGAACUUAAAACAAAGUAGGAGUUAUUCACCCAACUAAAAUAUUCGAGAGUUGUAUUAGAUACAAUUGGAAGGAGUUCCUACCUAAAUAACCUAGUUUUGUGUAAUCCUCCUACGCGAACUUAAAACAAAGUGAAAUGUGGAUCUCGACCCACUAGAAAAUCUUCCAACGGGAUUUUCCGAAUCAAAUGGUGAUGGUCAUUUGUUUUGAGUAAAAUAGUGGAAGCAUAUUUAAUUAAAGGCCUAAUUAAAAAUGAUAUUUUAAUGAUACUUAUAUUUUCAUAUUUUUCAUGUAGAUUACCAUGACAACAAACACCUCUAACAACAUUUUACGGUCAAUCCUUGAUAAGGAAAAAUUGUUUGGGACAAAUUUUCUGGAUUGACACCGAAAUCCGAGGAUUAUUCUCAAGCAUGAUAAAAAGUUGUAUGUCUUGGAGAAACCUAUUCCUGAAGAGGAACCUCCUAGUUCUGCACCUAAGGCAGAGAUAAAUGCUUAUAAGAAGCAUAUCAAUGAUAACAAUGAAGUUGCUUUCCUCAUGCUAGCUACCAUGAACUCGGAGUUGCAAAUGCAACAUGAGAACAUGAGAGCGUUCUAUAUGAUCAGACACCUGAAGAUGCUCUAUCAAGAGUAGGAAAGGCAUGACUAGUUUGAAGUUUCAAAGCCCUUUUUCAAUGCAAGUUAGCAGAGGGAGCCCAUGUAGGUCCCCGUGUCCUCGAGAUAAUUGGGUAUAGUAAGACCCCAAUUUUGAUCCUAAGAUCCCUCAUGCAAUUUCUUCAUAAGCAUUAGCAUUGGGAUCAUACCUUGGCAUCCUCCUUACCCCUCUUUCAUUGGGUUUAUUUUGGGAGAGAUAACCAAGCACCAUGUAAUUGUAUCAUACUUGUAUAUUAUUUUACUAACCAAAAUACCAAAAAUAUGUCUUUGUAUUUGGCUAAUUCUUUUGUAGGUAGGGCAUGAUCACCAUUGAUCUAUCAAGUUCAUAUCUAGGGUUAGAGACCCUCAUGACAAGGAGCACAACAAUGGAUUGAUCCAAGAAUGGUUAUAAGCAUCAUAUAUGAGUCCCCAUGAUUCUUACAUGUUAUAUUGAUCAAGUAUUCUUCAAGAGUUUGAGGGUGAUUUGCCUUGGAAACCCUAGUUUGACUAGGUAUCUUGAGUAACUUCUCCUACAAGCUAUCUCAUCAAUUGAUCAAAAUUAUCAAGGUAAACUUCAAAUUUCAUCAUCUUAUGCAUAUAUGAUUUACCAUGAGCCAAGAAAGUCCAAAGAAUUGAAGGGUAUCAAGUUGGCUGAUGGUGGUUGGCCAGAUGAAUUCAUCUGAUCAAAACUGGGUCUCCCUAGACCCUAACUCCUACAAUUUUCACCAUAUGAAAAUGAUUCUUAGAGAAAAGUUACUCUAAAUGACAUUGCAAAUAACUUUCAUGUUGAGAUCUAGAGCUAGUUUUUCUUGGAAAACCAUUUUCUAUGUUGAAACAUUAUAGGUCAUUUUGUCUAAACCCUAAUUUGAAAGUCAACUUCCCAUGGCCAUAACUUGCUCAAUUUUUAUGAUAUGAAAUAUUUACAAGUUGCAUAAUCAAAUUAAAUAUGUCUAAUUCAACUUUUAUGUUUGGAGUAAGAUCUAAUUCAACUUUUAUGAGCAUGUGAUAUGAGGUUAAAUUAUAGGUCAUUUUUUACCUAUACCAUUGAACAAGUGAUUUUUCCAAACUUCAAAAAUGCAUAACUCUAUCAUUCUAAGUCUAAAUGACAUGAAACUUGUGACCACUUUGAAGAUCUUUGAUAGAACUACAACUUUGAUACAGACACUUUUCUCAUUUGAAGCUCACAUAAAAAGUUAAGCAAGAUGGAAUAUUGAGAUAUAUGGCUUAACACAGAAAUUUUUUCAACAUGUUGAAAUUUCCAAACUUCCACCUCAAAAUUCACCAUGUUCCAAACUCCAAAUGGAAAAGUGUUCAACAUGAAACUUGUUCCCCUUGAUCCAAUCUUUCCAAAGUCCUGAAGUUCAUUCGUUUUGGAUGAAGUUUUCUAGGUCUGCGCAUGGCUUUAACAGGGCUACAUCAUGGGAAAGAAUAAAAUGUACAAGCUUCAUUUCACAUUACCUUUCCAUUCAAGCUUCAUUCAGACUUCAACAUGAUUCAUUUUGGACCUUUAUGCAUUGCAUCAUGGGCCUGUACAUGCCCAUGCACUUGUGCCAUUCACAUUGCCAAAUUUGGACAAAUUAUGGACUUCUGUGAUUCGAAUCAAACUUUCAAAAGUAAAAUGUGAUUAUCAUUAAUAUGUUUUAUUCAACUCAAGAACUUCUAUGAUUGAAAUCAAGCCAUUCACAUUGCCAAAUUUGGACAAAUUAUGGACUUCUGUGAUUCGAAUCAAACUUUCAAAAGUAAAAUGUGAUUAUCAUUAAUAUGUUUUAUUCAACUCAAGAACUUCUAUGAUUGAAAUCAUACUCACUGGAGAAAAUCCCGACUUUUCCACAUAACUUGAUUCAAAUCAUGUCAUCCCAUGAUUUGAAUCAUGCUUCAAGAUUUUAGUUUUUUUUUUAUCAAAAUGGAGCGUUAUACUGAAUCAGAAUAUGACAUGACUUAAAUCAUUCUCAAACGUGCUUCUUAAUUCAAAACUUUGACUAUUUGACUAGGAGUGUAUUGCUAGGACCAUAAUCAAACAAUUUGAUUUAUGCAUAAGUAAAAACAGAUUGAAAACUAAACUUUAAAGCCCACAAUCAAGUGAGGAGAGUCAAAUACGAUAAAAUAAACCAAAAACUAGAUAAGAAAGCAACCAAACAUAAACGGGUAAAUCCUAUGAGGUAGAGGAAACUUCAACAUCCAUGUUUUAUUUACUUAAAUCAAAAGUUUUUAACAAGCAUGCAUUUAAGAAAAUAAUUUUAACAUUUACAAGAGAAGAGAUUACAUUAAGGAACCAACUUUGAAUCAUUUUUCUAUUCUUACAAUUCAUCCCAGAUAAUGGUUUUGUACUUCAUGCAUUUACUCUCAUUAUAAUUUUUUUCAUUAUAUUAUAUUUAAAUUUCAACACUUUGUAUCCAAGAUAAAUCGUUGUGGUAUUCUCAUUCUAAUUUGUUAUUGAGGGUUUCAAGUGGAUCAGUGAUGUUUCAUGUGGAUUGAUGAGUUAACAAUAUAUUGACCCUUCUUACUUUAUAAAUGGAUGGAAAAGAUUCAUUACUUAUAAAAAAAAAAUAAAAGGCGAUAAAAUAGAUUUUCCCUCGGUUGACAGCUCAACCAAGAGAAUAUGUCAUAAAUAAAGUAUUAAAAAAAUAAAAUACGCUAAAAUGCAGUUGCUAGAAUUUAAAGGAGGAAUUGAUCCAAAAAUUUUCAACUCGGUUAGUAGCUCAACCGAGGGUAUAAGUUAUCAAUAAAAUAUUAUAAAUAAAUAAAGUGUGAUAAAAUGUAGUUAUUCAGAUUCGAAGGAAGGUUGAUCAAAAUUGUUUCGCUCAGUUGCCAGCUCAAUCCACUAAAUAGGCAGAACUUUAUAAAAAUAUGUAGGAAUGUAGAUUCGAACAUGUGAUAGCUCAUUUGUUUAUCUUUAAAAGGUGAAUUCUAUAGAGGCAAAUGAUAAAAUAUGAGCGCUUUUAAAAAAUUUAAUCGUAUAAAUUUAUGAAAAUUAUUAUGUUUUUAUAUAAAUAUUUUUUUGGAUUUGUUUAAUAAAAUCCUUUUAAAACUAAAUCAAAGGUGAAACCUGAUUAAUUUUUGAGUAAAAUAAUUUUUUAAUAAUAAAAAAGGAGAAGAAAUAUUAUGUUAUAUAAAAUUUAUAAAAAUAUUGAAGUGGCAGAAUAUUUUUUUUAAUAUUUUAUAAAUUAUAAAAAUAUUUCUUUAAUGAUUAUAGUUGUUCAAACUUUUAAUAUGUAAAACGUACCUUUUUUUUUCUUUGUAAAUAAAUAUACAUUAUAUACUAAUUUGGUGUACUUAAGGAAACUCUCUAUCCACCACAUUCAUAUAUAGGGAAACUUUUUCCUACAUAUCUUGACAAAUUAGAUGCUAAUUGUGGAGGAUCUCUACCAACACUAUUAAAAUAUUGUUUAUUCGAACAUAAUCAUAUUCUUUUUUCUUUUUAUUGUAUUUUUUCUUUCUUUCUCUCAUGUAUGAAUAUCAUAAGAUGUGACACUAUUUAAUUCAAUAAAAGACUAAAAUAAAAAGGUAACUCAAAAUAAAAUGAUAUUUUAAAAUAAUAAGAUUUAAAUUAAAACGAUAAUUAAAAUUUAUAUAUUAAAUAUAUUUAAUUAUAACAUAAAUUCAUUAUGAUAUGGAAACUUGGAAGCCACGAUAUACAUCCAAAAUUAAAAGAAAAUGAAAAGAUUAUAAUUAUAUUUCCGCCUUUUUUGUAUUAUUUUCAAAAAUUUAAAGAACAAAGACAUAAUUUCAAGAUACAUGAAAUUACAACACGAUUUAAAUAUAUAAAAUUUAUAAAAUUAUAAUUAUUCAUCAUAAGCUAUAUUGUUUAUAUUUUUUGAUAUUUCAAAAAAUAUUAUUUAGGAUUACUUUUUGAGAAUGGACUUAAAAAUGAUUUAUCAUAUCCUCUGAUAAACCUCUACAAAGUUUGUGCAUAUUUUGUUAAUGCAUUUAAAAAUUGUUCCAGAAAUUAUUCUCUGCUCGUUAGAACUCAUCAAUGAGGAUGGACAAUUUUCAUCAGUUUCACAUGGUUGCCCCUCUUAGUGAAAAAUAGAAUAAAAUUUUUUAGUGAAACAUGAAGAAAGAUAUUGUAAGAAUUAUAACAUAAAAUAAAUAAUAAUUAAGAAGCAAAAAUGAUUUACCGCAAUCCCCGGAUGAAAGAAGGAAUAGGGAAAAAAAUAAAAUUAUAGCAUAAAUAAAUUUGAGAACUUUUGUCAUUUUUUCUCUCUUUCUUGUUAGAAGUAAAAAGAGAGUUGAUCAAUUUAUAGUGUGUAAAUCCAAUGUAAUGUUUAAAACAAUUAAAUAUUUUAAGCCCUAAAGUAUAAAAUAUAUUUUAAUUGUCCCUUUUUCACGUUUAACAUGCGUCUCUUAAGCAUAUUUAGCAAAGGGGGUAAGAAACAAAUACUUUAUAAUCUUUAGAUUUAUUUAAAAGUAAUUUUACAUCAUUUGGUGAUUGAAAGGACAUGUUUUUUAUUUUAUUCUUUUAGAUCUCUGUGAUUCGGAUAAUUUUUAAUCAUUAAAAAUCGCCCAAAACGCACCACGAACAACUUUAUAUAGAAGAAAUUACAUUAUACACAAAUAUGAUCUUAUUUCCUUAAUAUCCAAUAAUUUUAUAAAAGAAAUCAUCGUUAUGUUUAACUCGUAUACAUUACAACUAUAUCUCUCAACUCUACAUUUAUAUAUAUAUAUAUAUAUUAUAUUAUAUAUAUUAUAUAUUAUAUAUAUAUAUAUAUAUAUAUAUACUAUAUAUAUCAUAUAUAUAUAUAUAUAUAUAUAUAUAUAUUAUAUAUUAUAUAUAUUAUGAUAUAUAUAUAUAUUAUAUAUAUAAUAUAUAUAUAUAUAUAUAUAUUUUAGAUCAAUCUUCUAAGAAUAAAAUAAAAAAACAUGUCCUUUCAAUCACAAUGUGUAAAAUUACUUUUAAACUAAUCUAAAGAUUAUAAAGUAUUUUGUUCUUACCCCUUUGCUAAUAUGCUUAAGAGACGCAUGUUUAAACGUGAAGAAAGGGACAAUUAAAAUUAUUUUAUACUUUAGGGCUUAAAAUAUUAAUUGUUUUAAUACAUUACAUUGGAUUUACCACCUAUAAAUGAUCAACUCCUUUACUUCUAACAGAAAGAAAAAAAUGACAAAAGUUCUCAAAUUUAUGCUAUAAUUUUAUUUUUUUUCCCUAUUCCUUCUUUCAUCCAUUGCGGUUAAAUCAUUUUGCUUCUUAAUUAUUUAUUUUGUUAGUUUAAUUCUUACAAUAUCUUCUCAUGUUUCACUAAAAAUUUUAUUCUUAUUUUUCACUAGAGGGGGCAAACCAUGUGAACACUGAUGAAAAUUGUUCCAUCCUCCAUUGAUGAGUCGUAACGAGCAGAGAAUAAUUUCCGGGAACGAAUUUUUUAAAAUGCAUUUACAAAAUAUGCACAAACUUUGUACAGGUUUAUCAGAGGAUAUGAUAAAUCAUUUUUAAGUCCUUCUUCAAAAAAAAAAGUAAUCUAACAUAAUAUUUUUUGAAAUGUCAAAAAAUAUAAACAAUUAUAGCGAUGUGAAUAAUUAUAAUUUUAUAACUAUUAUUAUAAAUCGGUGUUAAUUUCAUUGUAUCUGACAUUAUGUCUUUGUUCUUAAAUUUUUGAAAUAAUAUACAAAAGUGCGGAAAUAUAAUUAUAAUCUUUUCAUUUUCUAUUUAUUUUGGAUAUAUCGUGGCUUCCAAGUUUCAAUCAUAAUGAAUAGUUUAUAAUAUAAAUAUUUUAAUUAUAUAAUUUUAAUUUAUCGUAGUUUAAUUUAAAUCUUAUUAUAUUUAAAAAUAUCAUUUUAUUUUGAGUUGACCUUUUUAUUUUAGUCUUUUAUUUGAAUUAAUAGUGUCACAUCUUUAUGUAUUCAUACAUGAGAGAAAGAAGAAAAAUACAAUAAAAAGAAAAAGAAUAUGAUUAUGUUCGAAUAAACAAUAUUAUUAAGUAGUUGUAGAGAUCUCUCACAAUUAGCAUCUAAUUGUCAGAUAUGUCAGGAACAAAGUUUUCCCUAUAUAUGAAUGUGCGUGCGAUUAGAGAGUCUUCCGUUAAGUACAACCAAAUUAGUAUAUAUGUAUAUUUAUUUACAAAGAAAAAAAAGAGUACGUUUUACAUAUGUUAAAGUUUGAACAACUAUAAUCAUGAAAGAACUAUUUUUAUAAUUAUUAAAAUAUUAAAAAAUAUGUCUGCCAUCUUUCAAUAUUUUAUAAUUUAUAUAACAUAUUUUCUUCUCCUUUUUUAUUAUUAAAAAAUUAUUUUACUCAAAAAUUUAUAUCAGGGUUCACUUUCGAUUUAGUUUUAAAGCGAUUUUAUUAACAUCCAAAAAAUAUUUAAUAAAACAUAAUAUGUUAUAAUUUAUACGCAGUUAAAUUAUUUAAAAGCGCUCAUAUUUUAUCAUUUGCCUCUAUAGAAUUACCUUUUAAAGAUAAACACAAUGAGCUAAUCACAUGUUUCGAAUCUACAUUCCUACAUAUGUUUUAUUAAAGUUCUCCUAUUUAGUGGAUUGAGCUGGGACUCGAGCCGAAACAAUUUUGAUCAACCUUCCUUCGAAUCUGAAUAACUAAUUUUUAUCACACUUUAUUUCAUUAUAUAAUAUUUUUAUGAUAACUUAUCCCUCGGUGGAGCUACUAAACCGAGUUGAAAUUUUUGGAAUCAAUUCCAUCUUAUUAUUCUAGCAACUGCAGUUUAGCGUAUUUUAUUUUAUUUUAAUACUUUAUUUAUGACAUAUUCUCUUGCGUUGACGCUGUCAACCGAGGCGAAAAUCUAUUUUUAUCGCCUUUGAUUUUAUUUUUUUAGUUAAGAAUCUUUUCCAUCAUUUGUAAAGUGAAGCAAGGCGUCAAUUAUAUUGUUAACUUUCAUCAAUCCACAUAGAAACAUCACUGAUCCACUUGAAACCCUCAAUAACAAAUUAGAAUGAGUAAUACCCAACGAUUUAUCGCGAUCAAGUGUUGAAAUUUUAAUAUAUAAUAUAAUGAAAAAAAAAAAUUAUAAUGGAGAGUAAUGCAUAAGUACAAACCAUUAUCUGGGCAAUGAUUGUAGAAUAGAAAAAUGAUUCAAAGUUGGCGUUCCUUAUGUGAAUCUCUUCUCUUGUAAUGUUAAAAUUUAUUUCUAUAAUGCAUGCUUGCUUAAACAACUUUUGAUUAAGGUAAAUAAAAACAUGGAUUGUUGAAGUUUCCCUCUCCUCAUAGGAUUUACCCGUUUAUGUCUUGUUGCUUUCUUAUCUUAGUUUUUGGUUUAUUUAUUCGUAUUUGACUCUCCUCACUUGCAUUGUUGGGCUUUAAAGCUUUAGUUUCAAUAUCUGUUUUUACUUAUGCUAAUCCAAAUUGUUUGAUUUCGGUCCAUAGCAAUCACUCCUACGUCAAAUAUGUCAAGUUUUGAAUUAGAGCACGUUUGAGAUGAUUUAGUCAUUGUCAUAUUCUGAUUCAGUAUAACCGCGUCCAUUUUGAUACAAAAAAAAUAAAUCUUGCAAGCAUGAUUCAAAUCAUGAGAUGACAUUGAUUUGAAUCAAGUUAUGUGGAAAGUCGGGAUUUUCUUCCAGUGAGAUUGGAUGAUUUCAAUCAUGACAAGUUCUCUGAGUUGAAUAAAACAUAUUAAUGAUAAUCACCAUUUACUUUUGGAAAGUUUUGAUUCCAUUACAGAAGUCAUAAUUUGUCCAAAUUAUGGCAUGUGAAUGGCACAAGUGCAUGGGCAUGUACGGCGCCAUGCAUGCAAUGCCUAAAGGUCCAAAAUGCAUUCAUGUUGAAGUCUUGGAAUGUAAGCUUGAAUGAACUUUCGAAAGGUAAUGCUGAAAUGAAGCUUGUACAUUUAUUCUUUCCCAUGAUGCAAGCCCUGUUAAAGCCCAUGCCCAGAUCAUAAAACUUCAUCCAAAAACGAAUGAACUUCAGCGACUUUGGAAAAGAUUGGAUCAAGGUGGAACAAGUUUCAUGAUGAACAACUGUAUCCUGUUGGAGUUUGCGAACAUGGUGUGAAUUUUGAGGUGGAAGUUUGGAAAUUUUAACAUGUGAAAAAAUUUCUGUGUUAAGCCAUAUAUCUCAUAUUCCAUCUUGCUUAACUUUUUUAUGUGAGCUUAAUAUAAAAGUGCUCGUUAUCAAAGUUGUAGUUCUAUCAAGAUCUUCAAGUCGCGUCACAAGUGUUCAUGUCUUUAGACUUUAGAAUGAUAGAAGUUAUGCAUUUUGAAGGUUUGGAAAAAUCACUUGUUCAAUGGUAUAGCGUAAAAAAAUUGACAUAUAUUUCAACCUCAUAUCACAUGCUCAUAAAAGUUGAAUUAGAUCUUACUCCAACAUAAAGUGAAUUAGACAUAUUUAAUUUGAUUAUGCCAACUUGUAAUAUUUCAUAGUCAUAAAAAUUGAGCAAGUUAUGGCCAUGGGAAGCUUGACUUAUCAAAUUAGGGUGUAUAGACAAACAUGACCUAUAAUGUAUUCAACAUAGAUAAUGUUUUUCCAAAAAAACUAGCUCUAGAUACUCAACAUGAAAGUUAUUUGCAAAAUGUCUAUUAGAGUACACUUUUCUCUAAGAUCAGUUUUCAUAUGGGUGAAAUUGCUAGGAGUUUUAGCGGGUUCUAGGAAGACCACGUUUGAUCAGAUGAAUUCAUCUGGCCAAACCAUCAGCCCCAACUUUGAUACCCUCAAUUCUUUUGGACUUUCUUGCUCAUGGUCUAAAUCAUAUAUGCAUAGAAGAUGUGAAUUUGGAGUUGUCCUUGAUAUAUUGUUGAUCAAUUGAUGCAGCAUAGCUUGUAGGAGAAGUUACUCAAGUACCUAGUCAAACUAGGGUUUCCAAGGCAAAUCACCCUACAACUACUUGAAAGAAUACUAUGAAUCAUAUACAUGUAAGAAUCAUGGGGACUCAUAUACUGAUGCUUCUACAUUCUGGAUCAAUCCUGUUGUGCUCCUGGUCGAUGAGGGGCUCUCUAACCCUGCAUAUGAACUUGUAGAUCAUGGUGAUCAUUGCCCUACCUACAAAAGCAAUUAGCCAAUACAAAGACAUAUUUUGGUUAUUUGGCUUAGUAAAAUAAUAUACAAGUAUGAUACCGAAUGACAUGGUUGCUUGGUUAUCUCUCCCAAAAUAAACCACGAAAUGAAACAGGAGGGUAAGGAGGGAUAGCCAAGUGUAUGAUCCCAAUGCUAAUGCUUAUGAAGAAUUGCUAUGAGGGAUCUUCAGCGAUCAAAUAUUGGGGGUCGUACAUAUACCCAAUUAUCUCGAGGCACACGGGCGACCCUACAUGGGCUCCCUUGCUAACUUCGCAUUGAAAAAGGCUUUGAAACUUCAAACUAGUCAUUGCCUUUCCUACUCUUUGAUAGAGCACUUUCAGGUGUCGUGAUCAUAUAGAACGCUCUCAUGUUCUCUCAGUAUUGCAUUUGCAAACUCCCGAGUUCAUGGUCAGCUAGCAUGAGGAAAGCAACUUCACUUGUUAUUCUUGAUAUGCUUCUUAUAACGCAGUUUAUCUCUGCCUUAGGUGCCAGAACUAGAGCAGGUUCUCUUUCAGGAAUAGGUUUUCCCUAAGACAUACAACUUUUAUCAUUGCCUUGAGAAUAAUCCUGCGAUUCGGUGUCAAUCCAGAAAUUGUCCCAAAACAAUUUUUCCUUAUCAACAGGAUUGACCGUAAAAUGGUGUGUUAGAGGUUUUGUUGUCAUGGUAAUCUACAUGAAAAAGAUAUGAAAUUAAGCUAUCAUUAAAAUACUCAUUUUUAAUUAGGCCUUUAGUAAAUAUGCUUCCACCUAUUUUAUCAAAACAAAUGACCAUCACCAUUUGAUUCGAGAAAUCCCGUUGGAAGUUUUCUAGUGGCGAGAUCCACAUUUCACUUUUCUUUUAAGUCGCGUAGGAGGAUUACACAAAACAUAGGUUAUUUAGGUAGGAACGUCCUUCCAAUUUGUAUCUAAUACAACUCUCGAAUUAUUUGUUGGGUGAAUAACUCCUUUAUUCCAAUCCAACUCUUGGCUUCUAAACCAUAUAUAAUCUUAUUAUAGUUUGGUUUAGUUAAGUUCUGACCCAUUUAUUUAGCAAUUGGAUAUUAACAAUCAUCCCAUCACACCAUACUAAUCAUAGGAACAUGUUACACUCACCUAGCGAACCUACAUUAUUCGUAUUAGUCUUGAUGAGUGGCUAAAAAUUGGCAGCAUAAACUUAAUAUUUAAUUGAGGAUUUGCAUUAUUUGAAUCUCUCCGGCUUAUUUAUCAUUUAAAUCCGUCUCUCGGAUGCAUCAAACAUACAUACAAAAUGAAACAGUUAUGGCCCAUUAUCGCCAAUCUUUUCCCAAGCCAAUGCAGAGAACCUAAUUAACCUACUAACCAUCUAGCCUUCUCCAAGCAUCAUCUUCUAAAGGUUAUCCCCCUUUUUGAUAUUGUAUCUAUUAUUCGUUUUCAUAAACAUUACAUUACAUAAAGAAACUCGGUUUUACCAUACGAGAGGAGGAGAUGAGAAAAGAAGUUACAUUAAGAGAUUAAUAUAGAGGACACGCACACGCAGGUUGUAUUUUAAAAUCCCAAAAACAAAUAAAGGAAAACUAAGGCCUAACUGAUCACCAAAAGACAAUAAUAAUAAAACACAUUAUUAUUAUAUAAUUUAAAUUCUGUUAAUUGAUAUAAACAAAUUAAAUUUUGGGUGAUUGAUUCAUCACUUACACAGAGUUAGUGCGGGCGUUCUUCUUCUCGGUCAACACUUGAACUUUAAAGCACACAACUUCUUGCUGCAGUCCAACCCUAAUCGCAUAACUCUUUGACAGCAAACCUUGUACCAUAUGAACCCUUAUGCCAGCAAUUUCAUAUCGUCAAAACACACCUCGAUUGAUAAAUCAAUAUGGAUUGCAUCAACACGCCAUUGCUGUCACCCUAUACUCAAUGUCGGAUUCCGCAGCAAUUGGCCAUGACGGCGCAAUUAAAGAGAUAAAAAAUACAUUAAGUGUCUUGAAUGAACGAAAAUAGAACAGUAUAUACAUAAUAUACAUAUUUAUGCAUCAGAUUUAUCUUAUAUCUAUAUUGAAAUUGAUCGAUCUCAUUUGUGUUACCCCGAUGGACGAAUCGAUGUAUCUGCUGCUUCAGCCAUACUAACAUCAGAUUCGAAGCAUAGUCAAGCAUCAAUCAUCCAAAUCAACACACAUGAUCCCAAAUGUUAAAUACUCUAUUUAUUAUUUAAUUCAGUUUUGUCUUUUAAUUUCUUAAUACAGAAGAAAAAACAACUACUCAUAUGCAUUGGUUUCGUAAGUGGCCUCUGAUACCUAAAGGAAAAAUUACGAUCAAAAUGCAACAGAAUUAAAAUUUUCCUUUACUGUCCUUAAAAUGGAGAAUGAUUAGCUGAUAAAAAUCGUUACAUCUUAUGCAAUUGAAACCUUUGAUGCAGUCUAAGCGAGUGAUCACGGGUGACAACGCCCUUCACUCAGUCCACGCACGAACGGAUUCCGUCUUAGUCUCGGUGCUAGCUGUACGAUAUGAAGACUUGAGAGAGAGAAGAGAAUAUUCAUCAAGUUAAACGCUUAUGCACAAGGGUUCAAUUUAUAGAAACCACUUAUAUCAGCCUGCAAGCUAAAAAGUUCACUUAAGUGGAUUGGCCCAUAUCUUAUGGUAUACUGAAAAUCAUUAGACCGUGUGUACCUACCUAUAAUUUCAUGAUUCUACUUAAGUGCACCGUUACCUUACGGUGUUCCUUAUUAAUCUGUCUUACUCAUCAAUCCGUCAUUUUGUGUGUGACCCUGUGGUUUUCGCGCGAUAUUGGCUAAUUAUAUUAAAUUCACAUAUUUUUAAACCAUAAUAUAAAGUGAGCGGCGUAUCUAACAACACAAUCAUUGCUACCCAAGACACGAAAAUAGUCACGUGCUGAUAUGACAAAUCCCUUUUGCUGAUGAUUACUUACGUUGUUACAGAUUACCCUUUUGUCAUUAUGCUUUAUAUUAACACAAGGCAUAACCCGGUGCCAUCCUUGUCCAUUUUCAAUAUUUGAGCCCUUAACAUUUAUCAUGUGUGACGUAGGAUGGGCAAAUUCUAUCUAGAGUCACCUCGGGGCGGGCUGGUGUCGCUCAGCAUGCUUCGUGGAUACCCAUCAAUUGCUCUUUAUGCGUCAUCUGGUACAGACAAUCUUUGAUCAACAAUAAAACAACUCGACUCAGCAUGCUUGUUGAUCAAUUUUAGUUUACUGUUGUUGCCAAUAAAUCACAUAAAACUUAAAAAUAGUGAUUUUUUCAAUUGUCUUAACCGCUUAAUUACGGGAUCUGAAUAUAUCAUAAGGAAGCCCGCAUUUUUUCGUUUCAUGAUUUGAAUAUGAGAUUACUUUUUCAUAUAUCAUUAUAACGAAUAAUGAAAUCCAUCGGCAUGCUUUACAUAAUUUUUUCUUCUUACAUUUUCGCCUGAUUCUUUCAAAUUCGUUGGCCUUCAUUUGCAAAAAUUCGAUUGGCAGUAUUUGGAAUUCUUCCGGCGAAAAAUCGAGCCUGCGAUUAUAUAAUUUGCCAUAUUAAUUUUUGAUUGUAUUAAUUUUUUAUUUAUUAAUUUUUUAGUAGGAUCAAAAUUCAAGCGUUGUGUGUGUAAUUAAUUAAUGAACAUUAUAUUGAUGUAAACUUUGGAACUCUCAGAACCGUGACAAACGUGUCCUAACAUUUUUUUUCUUUUUUUUCACUUUUUUGCGAGCAGCACCAUGUGUCGCCCAGCAUGACCUGGGUCAGCAAUGCACAUUAUAAUUACAAAAACAACAUAUAAGCAUAAAACAAGAAUAAAACAGAAACUUGAUUAUGUGGAAUCUUUCUGGGCCAUUAGACCUUAUUUUUAAUGCUUUUUUACACCCCCAAUCUGAGUUUAAAUUAUUCUUUUUGCUCUUGAUUUCAUUUUUUUGUUUUUGCUUUUAUUUUUAUUAAAAUUAGGCCAUUAGAAGUUUUUAAUUGAUUAGUUUAAUUAGUUAGAUUUUUAGGAAUAAUUAGAAUUAAGGGAUUUUAAUUAAGAAUAAAAAUAUGGAUUAAUUAGAAUAUUAAUUUAAUUUAUUUUUUAGUUUAGUUAGAUUUCUAAAAACAAUUAGGUUGUUCUUUGAUUUGAUUAAAAUAGUUUUCUUAGAACUUGUCUAAUUUUUACCGGUUUUAGUUAGGAUAAUUGAUUAGGCCGUUUAAUUUUAUCCUAUAAAUUUAAUAUUCAAUGCUGAAAUGAAAACCCAUUUUAACCUUAGGGGUUAUUUUUGUCAUUUUAGCCCAUGAAACGCCAUGUUCCUUUCGGUUUUAAUUUUAACUCUAGAAUAUUAGCUAGUUUAAUCAGUUUUUCAUUGAGUAUCUGAUUAACAAAAUAUGCCUCCCAUUAGGACAUAGUGUGAGAAUAAUUUAACAUCUNUGAUAAAAAUUAUCCGAAUCACAAGAGAAAAAAAUAUUCGGUUCGAUUUAGUUCGGUUGACUUUUAGAAAUAAAACCAAAUCAAACCAAUACGGUUUGGGUUAGUUUGGUUUUGAAAAAAAAUUAUUGAGUGAUACAUACACCUAUAGAGAAGAACAUAACUUUUUAUUUAGUCAUUUAUACAUUAAUAAAUAACAUCAAAACUCAUCAUAUUUAGACAAAAUCUUCUCAUUCAAUAUACAAAAAUCAGAUUAUACAAAAUUGGAAUAAAAAAAUAUAAAAUAGUAGCAUAAAAUAAUAUCAAAUACAUUAUAAUAAAAGUGCGAUAAAAGGAAAGAACAAAUGAGAUGCUAGAUUAGAGAAGAAAAGUGUGAUAAAAAUGUAAUUGGAAGAGAAAAUAGUAACAUAAAAAUGAGAAGAUGAAAAAGAAAGAACAUAAGAGAGGUGAGACUAAAGUAGAAGAGGCAAGGCAUACAUGACAAAGAAAAUGAGAAGAAUGGCCGAUACUACUAGGAGAGAUUUAUAAGUUGUAACACCCUAAAUUCAAUUAAUUAUUUUUAUUUAAUUAUUUAAAAUUGUAUUUGAUUAAUUGGUAUUUUAAAGUAUUUGUUGUAUGAUUGUGGGGGGUAAUUGUCCUUGAAGUAGAGGUAUAGAAAGAGUAAGAGUUUAACAUAUUUGUUUAGAAAUUAAUUGAAGUUUUAAUUAAUUAUUAGAAUAAAUAGUAUUUUUAUUUAAAAUUAUUAUUUAAAUAAUAAAAUGAUGGAAUUGAGCUAUUUGCAAGAUUUGGAGGGAAUAAGGGGUAAAAAUAGAGAAAUUAUUAUUGAGUUGGCAAGUUUCAUAAUUAGACAAAAUAGUGAGGGAGUAUAUACUCUAAAGUUAGGGAAAGAGUUAGGUUUUGGAGAGAAAACUUCAGACGUGUAGGAAAGAGACAAGAGAGGGGAAGAGGAGCAAGCUAGGAGGUUGAGGAGAGAACUCAUAGAAACUGCACAAAUCAUCAUCAAUUGUAUAAAAUCAGGUAAGGAUUGGAAAUUAUUUCAAUAAUAAGAGGUGUGAUGGAAGGGUAGAAUGAAGGAACCCUUAACCUCCUUAGGAUUGGGUGUUCUAAAUCUCAAUUUAGAUUUUUUUGUUAUAAUUGUUGUUGUAUGAUGGAAUUGGUGUGAAAUUUGUGUACCUUAUUGAAGCUAGCGGAAAUAUACCCGAAUGCAUCGCACGCUUGAACAUACAACAGAGUCGCCAUCAAACUUUAUUUAUUCCAUAAGGAAAGGGAAAACAUCGAUAAAACCCGAGGGAAAGAGAUAUAUAGGUAAGGAGGUCGGUUAUGUAAGGGGAAGGUAUUAACACCCCUAACAUCGAUGAUACUCCAUGGGAACCAUUUUGAUUGUUCUUACUCGAAUGGGUGUUAUAUCCAAGGCUACUCGCUAAAGAAUGAAGGGAAAAGGAAAAAGAAUAGAUAAAGUACUCGGUGAGGAUUGAGGCCCUCAUGCCUACGUAUCCUUAUAGUGCAAUAAGGAAUUCAGAGCUCCGUAGUUCAUAGAACUAGUGGUGGAAGGUGAAAAGAAUUUGUGAUACAAGUAUAGUCUGAAACAAAGGAUUUUAUGAUUUGAACUCCAAAAAAGGGAUAAAUCUGAACCCAAGAGUAAUGUUGGCGUGAACCAUAUGUGGGUAGUCUGAACAUUCACCGCUAUACGGUACAGCCGAAAACAAGAAGAAUUAAGUGUUUGGUUUGACAAGGAACAUUAUAUCACUGUAGGGUACAAACAAUUUGAGGUCAAAGAAGAGUGGUAUCUUGAACCCAUGAAGGAUUGGACUCAUAAUCGAAGAGUAAACAGGUGUUUUGGUCAAAAAGAAGGAACAAAGUGUUUGGUUUGAUAACACAAACAUCUUUUGGUUCACAAGGUUUUGGAAAAAGUCAGGAAUAAAAUGUUUGCUUUGACAGCACAAGCAUUCUCUUGGUUCACAGGAAGGCAUUGGGUAUGGAAUCCAAAGGAAUAAUGAGAUCUCAAAAAUAUGGUAUUGCUUGAAGAAAUACCAAUGGGGUAGAAAUAAAUAAGGUAGCUGGCGGAGAAUCUGAAUCCUCGUUCCUACGUAUUCUCACUGUGCAAUUAGAAAGUCAGAUCUUUCGUAGUUCAAUCAACUAAGGAUGACAACAACAUAGUUCAGGCAAAAAAAGGAGUGCCAAGGUUCACAGCCUGCUAGGAAAGGAGUCACUACCAGAGUUUAUAAUUCUGAAGGCGAAGAAUUGAACUGCCAAGGUCUAAAACCUAAAAGGCAAAGGGAAUGGAUGUUAGAGUCCAUAACUCCCUAGGCAAAAGAAAGCACUUCCAAAGUCCAUAAACUGAUAGGCAAGGGGAUUUCCCAGAGUCCAUAACUCUACAAGGCUACUCAAAGGGAUUGUCAAGGUAUAUAACCAAGUGCAAAAGUCUAUAACUCCAUAUGCACAGAAAGAGUCUGCCAAGGUCCACCAUCUCCUGGGGGUAAAAUGAAGAUUGCCAAGGUCUAUUACGUUAUAGGCAAGAAAGAUUGAAUUGCUUGGGUCCAUAACCCUAUAAGGAAAAAGGAAUUCCAAGUUCUAUCACCUUAUAGGAAAGGAAAGGUUUCCAAGGUCUAUUACCUUAUAGGCAAGAACAUGUUUGAAUUUCUUGGGUCCAUAACCCUACAAGGAAAAAGGAAUACCAAGGUCUAUCACCUUAUAGGCAAGAAAAGGUUGUCGUUUCCUAUGUCCAUAACCCUACAAGGAAAAAGGAAUGUCAAGGUCUAUUACCUUGUAGGCAAGAAUAAAUGAUUAAAAGAGGGUGUACAACCAUGAGAUGCCAAUAGGAACAAUGCUUCAUUAUUGAAGUGUUGAAAGAUUGAUGCUUGCUUGAAGAAUACUUGUUAAUUAAGAUGCCAAUAGGAACAAUGCUUCAUUAUUGAAGUGUUGAAAGAUUGAUGCUUGCUUGAAGAAUACUUGUUAAUUGCAUGAUUCAAAUUACACUAAAGUUUAUGAACAAGGGUCAAUGGUUUGAAUAGCUAGGGCAUAUGCCCCUAUGGAAAGUCACUCUAGACAAGGGUAGGAGAAACUUUGUCUCAUCAUUCCUCGUUACUUAAGGCUCAUAACAUGUAACCCUUAUCACGAUUGACAAGUACUAUUAAGGCUUCUGAUUAUUGAUCUUGAUGAUGACAUGUUGUUUGUUGUAUUGAGAAGACUUGACAAUUGUUUGAUUCAAAUUGUGCUAAAGUCUAUGAACAAGGAUGAAUGCUUUUAAUAUCUAGGGCAUGCGCCCCGUAUACAAAGUCACUCUAGAUAAGGGUAGGAGAAACUAUGUCUCAUCAUUGCUCAUUACUUAAGGCUCAUAGCAUACAAUUUGAAUCGUAGUUACCAAGUGUUGACCUUCGAUGUAUCUUGUAUAACCCGUUGCUUGAUUUGACUAGGAUGCCUUGCACGAAAGACUAGACUUGAAGCUUCAAGAUCCAUUGUAUUGAAAUUAGUCCCAUCAAGUGAUCAAGGGACUUUUGAUCACUUGAAUGGACUGUGAGAUUAUACAUGAUUAAAGGAUUUAGUUGGUCAAAAUUGCUUUUGAUCAUCGUAAAUCGGAGGGUUUGAAUUAACUUGAAAAUUGUGAUUAACCUAAUCUAAGGGUUAAGAUUAUUCGCACACUAUUCCUAAGGGAGAAUAUUAUGUUAAUCAGAUACUUCAUGAAAAAACUUGAUUAUACUAGCUAAUAUUCUAAGUUAAAAUUAAAAUCGAAAGGAACAUGCCUUUCUAUGGCUAAAAUGACAAAAAUAACCCUAAGGUUAAAAUGGUUAUUUCACAUGAAUAUUCAAUUUAAGGAUAAAAUUAAACCCUAAUCAAUAUCCUAACUAAAACCUAAAAAUUAGACAAGUUCUAAGAAAACCAUUUUAAUCAAAUCAAAGAAACCUAAUUAUUUUUAGAAAUCUAACUAAACUAAAAAAAAAUCAAUUAAUAUUCUAAUUAAUCCUAAUUUUAUUCUAAUUAAAAUCCUAAUUCUAAUUAUUCCUAAAAAUCUAACUUAAUUAAACUAAUCAUUAAAAAACUCUAAAUGGCCUAAUUAAUAAAAAUAAAACAAAAAAAAAAUGAAUCAAGAACAAAAAGAAUAAUGAACUCAGAUUGGGGGUGUAAAAAACCAAUAAAAUAAGGUCUAAUGGCCCAAAAGAUCCACAUAAUCAGUUUUGUUUUAUUCUUGUUUUAUCUUAUAUGCUAUUUUGUAUUAUAUGUCAUGCUGAACCAGUCAUGCUGCGACACAUGGUGCUGUCCAAAAAAGUGAAAAAAAGGAAAAAGAGGUAGGACAUGUGUCACGGUUCUGGGAGUUCCGGGUUUAAUCAAUAUAUGUUCAUUAAUUAAUUACACACAACCUUGAUUUUUGAUCUACUAAAAAUUAAUAAAUCAAAAAUUAAUAUGCAAAUUAUAUAUUCAGGCUCGAUUUUUCGCGAAGAAUCCAAAUAUGCAAUCGACUUUUGCAAAUGAGCCACGAAUUUUGAAGAAUCGGGCGAAAAUGUGAAAAAAAAAAGUAUGUAAAGAAUCGAUUAAUUCACAUUCGUUAUAAUGAUAUAUGAAAAAGUAAUCUCAUAUUCAAAAUCGUGACGAAAAAUCACUUCUUAUGAUAUAUUCAUACGUAAUUAACGGUUAAGAAUUGAAAAAUCACCAUUUUUAAGUUUAUGUGAUUUAUGCAAAACAGUAACUAAAAUUGAUCAACAAGCAUGCUAAGUCAAGUGUUUUAUUGUUGAUCAAAGAUUGUCUGUAACUAGAUGACCAUAAAGACAAUUGAUGGAUACUCCACGAAGCAUGCUGAGCGACAUGAGUGACCUAGAUAGAAUUUGUCCAUCCUACGUAACAUGAUAAAUGUCUAAGGGCCCAAUAGUGAAAUGGACAAGGAUGACACGGGUUAUGCCUUGUGUUUAAUAUAAACAUAAUGACAAAAGGGUAAUUGUACACAUAAGUAAUAUCACAAAAAGGGAUUUGUCAUAUCACAUGACAUUUUCGUGUCUUAUGUAGCAGUGAUGUGUUGCUAGAUACCGCUCACCGUUUUGUUUUUUUAAAUAUGUGAUUUAAUAUAAUUACCAAUAUCGCGAAAACCUACAGGGUCACACACAAAAUGACGAAUUGAUGAGAGACAUAGUAAAUAAGGAACACCGUUAGGUACGGUGCACUUAAGUAGAAUAUGAAAUCUGGUAAGGUAUCACACGCUUAAGUGCUUUUCAGUAUACCAUUAGAUAUAGGCCACAUACACUUAAGUGGGCUUUUUAGCUUGCAGGCGACAUAAGUGGUUCUAUAAAUUGAACCCUUGUGCAUAAGCGUUUUACUUGAUGAAAUUUCUCUUCUCUCUCUCAAAGUCUUCAUUCGUAGCAGCUAGCACUGAGACUGAAGGAAUCCGUUCGCGUGGACUAAAUAAAGGUGUUGUCACCCGUGAUCACUCCUUAGAUCUGCAUCAAAGGUUUCAAUUGGUAUAAGAAGUAACGGUUUUUAUCACUAAUCAUUCUCAUUUGUAAGGAUCAGUAAAGGAACAAUUUAAUUUCUGUUGCAUUUUGGAUCGUAAUUUUCCUUUAGUGGUAUCAGAGCCACUUACGAAACCAUGCAUAUGAUAGUUGUUUUUUUUUUUCUGUAUUAACACGAUUAAAAGACAAAAUGAAUUAAAUAAUAAAAGAGUAAUUAAAUUUGGCAUCAUGUGUGUAUGAUUUGGAUGAUUGAUGUUGACUAUGCUUCGGAAUCUGAUGUUAGUAUGGUGAAGCAGCGAUACAUCGAUCGUCCAUGGAUAACACAAAUGAGUUCGAUCAAUUUAUAUAUAUGAUAUAAGAUAAUCUGAUGCAAAAUAUGGUAUAUAUGAUAUACUAUUUCUAUUUCGUUCAUUCAAACACUUAAUUAUUUUUAUUCUUUUAAGCGAUCAAUAGCCAAUUGCUUCGGAAUCCGACAUUAGUAUGGUGAAGCAAUGGCGUGUUGAUCAAUCAUACUGAAUUAUCAAUCAAGGUGUGUUUGACGAUAUGGAAUUGUUGCAUUAGGGUUCAUGAUGGUACAAGGGUUAUGCUGUCAAAGAGUUAUGCGAUUAGGGUUGUGACUGCAUAAGAGUUGUGCUUUAAAGUAUCAUGUGUUGACCGAGAAGAAGAACCCCCGACUAACUCUGGGUAGUAUGAUCAAUCACCAAAAUUUAAUUUGGUUUAUAUAAUUAAUAGAAUUUAAAUUAAUAAUAAUAAUGUGUUUAUUAUUAUUGUCUUGUGGUGAUCAGUUAUGGCCUUAGUUUUCCUUUAUUUUGUUUUUGGGAUUUUAAAAUACAACCCGCGUGUCGUGCCUCUAUUUUAAUCUCUUAAUGUAACUUAUUUUCUCAUCUCACUCCCUCGUAUGUAAAACGAGUUUCUUUUAUGUAAUAUAAUGUUAUGAAAAAAGAGAAUAAUAUAAUAUCAAAUUGGGAUAACCUUGAAGAUCUUGCUUGGAGAAGCUAAGAUUGUUAUUAGGUUAUAUUAGGUUCUCUCAUUGGCUUGGGAGAACAAUUGCGAUAUGGGCCAUAACAGUUUCAUUUUGUAUGUAUAUUGAUGCAUCUGAGAGACGAUUUAUAUGAUAAAUAAGCCGGAGAGAUCAAAAUAAUUGCAAAUUCCCUCAUAUUAAAUAUUAAGUUUAUGCUUUCCAAUUUUUAGCACUCAUCAAGACUAGUAUCGAAUAAUGUAGGUUUCGCCUACGUGAGGUACAUGUUCUGUAUUAGUAUGGUGUGAUGGGAUGAUUGUAAUAAUCCAACAUUGCCUAAAACAAUGGGUCAAACUUAACUAAAAAAUUAUAAUAAGAUUAUAUAUGUUUAGAAGCAAGAGUUGGAAUUGAAUAAGGAGUUACUCACCCAACUAAAAUAUUCGAGAGUUGUAUUAGAUACAAUUGGAAGGAGUUCCUACCUAAAUAACCUAGUUUUGUGUAAUCCUCCUACGCGAACUUAAAACAAAGUGAAAUUUGGAUCUCGACCCAAUAGAAAAUCUUCCAACGGGAUUUUCCGAAUCAAUGGUGAUGGUCAUUUGUUUUGAGUAAAAUAGUGGAAGCAUAUUUAAUUAAAGGCCUAAUUAAAUAUGUUAUUUUAAUGAUACUUAUAUUUUCAUAUUUUUCAUGUAGAUUACCAUGACAACAAACACCUCUAACAACAUUUUACGAUCAAUCCUUGAUAAGGAAAAAUUGUCUGGGACAAAUUUUCUGGAUUGGCACCGAAAUCCGAGGAUUAUUCUUAAGCAUGAUAAAAAGUUGUAUGUCUUGGAGAAACCUAUUCCUGAAGAGGAACCUCCUAGUUCUGCACCUAAGGCAGAGAUAUAUGCUUAUAAGAAGCAUGUCAAUGAUAACAAUGAAGUUGCUUUCCUCAUGCUAGCUACCAUGAACUCGGAGUUGUAAAUGCAACAUGAGAACAUGGGAGCGUUCGAUAUGAUCAUACACCUGAAGAUGCUCUAUCAAGAGCAGGAAAGGCAUGAGUUGUUUGAAGUUUCAAAGCCUUUUUUCAAUGCAUGUUAGCUGAGGGAGCCAAUGUAGGUCCACAUGUCCUCCAGAUGAUUGGGUAUAGUAAGACCCCGAUUUUGAUCCUAAGAUUCCUCAUGCAAUUUCAUCAUAAGCAUUAGCAUUGGGUUCAUACCUUGGCAUCCUCCGUACCCCUCUUUCAUUGGGUUUGUUUUGGGAGAGAUAACGAAACACCAUGUAAUUGUAUCAUACUUGUAUAUUAUUUUACUAACCAAAAUACCAAAAAUAUGUCUUUGCAUUUGCCUAAUUCUUUUGUAGGUAGGGCAUGAUCACCAUUGAUCUAUCAAGUUCAUAUCUAGGGUUUGAGACCCUCAUGACAAGGAGCGCAACAAUGGAUUGAUCCAAGAAUGGUUAUAAGCAUCAUAUAUGAGUCCCCAUGAUUCCUACAUGUUAUACUGAUCAAGUAUUCUUCAAGAGUUUGAGGGUGAUUUGCCUUGGAAACCCCAGUUUAACUAGGUAUCUUGAGUAACUUCUCCUACAAGCUAUCUCAUCAAUUUAUCAAAAUUAUCAAGGGACACUUAAAAUUUCAUCAUAUUAUGCAUAUAUGAUUUACCAUGAGCCAAGAAAGUCCAAAGAAUUGAAGGUUAUCAAGUUGGCUGAUGGUGGUUGGCCAGAUGAAUUCAUCUGAUCAAAACUGGGUCUCCCUAGACCCUAACUCCUACAAUUUUCACCAUAUGAAAAUUAUUCUCAGAGCAAAGUUACUCUAAAUGACAUUCCAAACAACUUUCAAGUUGAGAUCUAGAGCUAGUUUUGCUUGGAAAAUCAUUUUCUAUGUUGAAACAUUAUAGGUCAUUUUGUCUAAACCCUAAUUUGAAAGUCAACUUCCCAUGGCCAUAACUUGCUCAAUUUUUAUGAUAUGAAAUAUUUACAAGUUGCACAAUCAAAUUAAAGAUGUCUAAUUCAACUUUGAUAUUUGGUGUAAGAUCUAAUUCAACUUUUAUGAGCAUGUGAUAUGAGGUUACAUUAUAGGUCUUUUUUUAUCUAUACCAUUGAACAAGUGAUUUUUCCAAACUUCAAAAAUGCAUAACUCUAUCAUUCUAGUUCCAAAUGAAAUGAAAUUUGUGACCACUUUGAAGAUCUUUGAUAGAGCUACAACUUUGAUGAAGACACUUUUCUCAUCUGAAGCUCACGUAAAAAGUUAAGCAAGAUGGAAUAUUGAGAUAUAUGACUUAACACAGAAAUUUUUUCAACAUGUUGAAAUUUCCAAACUUCCUCCUCAAAAUUCACCAUGUUCUUAACUCCAAAUGGAAAAGUGUUCAACAUGAAACUUGUUCCCCUUGAUCCAAUCUUUCCAAAGUCCCCAAGUUCAUUCAUUUUGGAUGAAGUUUUCUAGGUUUGCGCAUGGCUUUAACAGGGCUACAUCAUGGGAAAGAAUCAAAUGUACAAGCUUAACUUCACAUUGCCUUUCCAUUCAAGCUUCAUUCAGACUUCAACAUGAUUGAUUUUGGACCUUUAUGCAUUGCAUCAUGGGCCUGUACAUGCACAUGCACUCGUGCCAUUCACAUUGCCAAAUUUGGACAAAUUAUGGACUUCUGUGAUUCAAAUCAAACUUUCAAAAGUAAAAUGUGAUUAUCAUUAAUAUGUUUUAUUCAACUCAAGAACUUCUAUGAUUAAAAUCAUAUUCACUAGAGAAAAUCCCGACUUUUCCACAUAACUUGAUUCAAAUCAUGUCAUCCCAUGAUUUGAAUCACGCUUCAAGAUUUUAGUUUUUUUUUAUAAUCAAAUGGAGCGUUAUACUGAAUCAGAAUAUGACAUGACUUAAAUCAUUCUCAAACGUUCUUCUUAAUUUAAAACUUUGACUAUUUGACUAGGAGUGUAUUGUUAGGACCAUAAUCAAACAAUUUGAUUUAUGUAUAAGUUAAAAUAGAUUGAAAACUAAACUUUAAAGCCCACAAUACAGUGAGGAGAGUCAAAUACGAUAAAAUAAACCAAAAACUAGAUAGCAAAGCAACAAAACAUAAACGCGUAAAUCCUAUGACGUAGAGGAAACUUCAACAUCCAUGUUUUAUUUACUUAAAUCAAACAUUUUUAACAAGCAUGCAUUUAAGAAAAUAAUUUUAACAUUUACAAGAGAAGAGAUUACAUUAAGGAACCAACUUUGAAUCAUUUUUCUAUUCUUACAAUUCAUCCCAGAUAAUGGUUUUCUACUUCAUGCAUUUACUUUAAUUAUAAUUGUUUUCAUUGUAUUAUAUUUAAAUUUCAACACUUUGUAUCCAAGUUAAAUCGUUGUGGUAUUCUCAUUCUAAUUUGUUAUUGAGGGUUUCAAGUGGAUCAGUGAUAUUUCAUGGGGAUUGAUGAGUUAACAAUAUAUUUCUUACUUUAUAAAUGGAUGGAAAAGAUUCAUUACUUAUAAAAAAAAUUAAAUAAAAGGCGAUAAAAUAGAUUUUCCCUCGGUUGACAGCUCACCCAAGAGAAUAUGUCAUAAAUAAAACAUUAAAAAAAAUAAAAUUCGCUAAAAUGCAGUUGCUAGAAUUUAAAGGGGAAUUGAUCCAAAAAUCUUCAACUCGGUUAACAGCUCAACCGAGGGUAUAAGUUAUCAAUACAAUAUUAUAAAUAAAUAAAGUGUGAUAAAAUAUAGUUAUUGAGAUUCGAAGGAAGGUUGAUCAAAAUUGUUUCGCUCAGUUGCCAGCUCAAUCGACUAAAUAGGCAGUACUUUAUAAAAAUAUGUAGGAAUGUAGGUUCGAACAUGUGAUAUCUCAUUUGUUUAUCUUUAAAAGUUGAAUUCCACCGAGACAAAUGAUAAAAUAUGGGCGUUUUUAAAAAAUUUAAUCGUACAAAUUUAUCAAAAUUAUUAUGUUUUUAUAUAAAUAUUUUUUUGGAUUUGUUUAAUAAAAUCCUUUUAAAACUAAUUCAAAGGUGAAACCUGAUUAAUUUUUGAGUAAAAUAAUUUUUUAAUAAUAAAAAAGGAGAAGAAAUAUUAUGUUAUAUAAAAUUUAUAAAAAUAUUGAAGUGGCACAAUAUUUUUUUUAAUAUUUUAUAAAUUAUAAAACUAUUUCUUUAAUGAUUAUAGUUGUUCAAACUUUUAAUAUGUAAAAAGUACCUAUUGUUUUUUCUUUCUAUAUAAAUAUACAUUAUAUACUAAUUUGGUGUACUUAAGGAAACUCUCUAUCCACCACAUUCAUAUAUAGGGAAACUCUUUCGUACAUAUCUUGACAAAUUAGAUGCUAACUGUGGAGGAUAUCUUCAAACACUAUUAAAAUAUUGUUUAUUCGAACAUAAUCAUAUUCUUUUUUCUUUUUAUUGUAUUUUUUCUUUAUUUCUCUCAUGUACGAAUAUCAUAAGAUGUGACACUAUUUAAUUCAAUAAAAGACUAAAAUAAAAGGUAACCCAAAAUAAAAUGAUAUUUUAAAAUAAUAAGAUUCAAGUUAAAACGAUAAUUAAAAUUUAUAUAUUAAAUAUAUUUAAUUAUAACAUAAAUUCAUUAUGAUAUGGAAACUUGGAAGCCAAAAUUAAAAGAAAAUGAAAAGAUUAUAAUUAUAUUUCCGCCUUUUUUGCAUUAUUUUCAAAAAUUUAAAGANCAAAAUUAAAAGAAAAUGAAAAGAUUAUAAUUAUAUUUCCGCCUUUUUUGCAUUAUUUUCAAAAAUUUAAAGAACAAAGACAUAGUUUCAAGAUACAUGAAAUUACAACACGAUAUAAAUAUAUAAAGUUUAUAAAAUUACAAUUAUUCAUCAUAAGCUAUAUUAUUUAUAUUUUUUGAUAUUUCAAAAAAUAUUAUUUAGGAUAAGUUAUGAGAAUGGACUUAAAAAUGAUUUAACAUGUCCUCUCAUGAACCUCUACAAACUUUGUGCAUAUUUUGUUAACGCACUUAAAAAUUAUUCUCUGAUUGUUAGCACUCAUCAUUGAGAAUGGACAAUUUUCAUCAGUUUGACAUGGUUGCCCCCCUUAGUGAAAAAUAGAAUAAAAAAUGUUAGUGAAACAUGAAGAAAGAUAUUGUAAGAAUUAUAACAUAAAAUAAAAACUAAUUAAAAAGCAAAAAUGAUUUACCGUUAUGCCCGGAUGAAAGAAUAUGUCCGGAUGAAAGAAGGAAUAGGGAAAAAAAUAAAAUUAUAGCAUAAAUAAAUUUGACAACUUUUGUCAUUUUUUCUCUCUUUCUCGUUAGAAGUAAAAAGAGAGUUGAGCAAUUUAUAGUGUAUAAAUCCAAUGUAAUGUUUAAAACAAUUAAAUAUUUUAAGCCCUA